AGUGAACGCUGGCGGUAGGCCUAACACAUGCAAGUCGAACGGCAGCACAGUAAGAGCUUGCUCUUACGGGUGGCGAGUGGCGGACGGGUGAGGAAUACAUCGGAAUCUACUUUUUCGUGGGGGAUAACGUAGGGAAACUUACGCUAAUACCGCAUACGACCUACGGGUGAAAGCAGGGGAUCUUCGGACCUUGCGCGAUUGAAUGAGCCGAUGUCGGAUUAGCUAGUUGGCGGGGUAAAGGCCCACCAAGGCGACGAUCCGUAGCUGGUCUGAGAGGAUGAUCAGCCACACUGGAACUGAGACACGGUCCAGACUCCUACGGGAGGCAGCAGUGGGGAAUAUUGGACAAUGGGCGCAAGCCUGAUCCAGCCAUACCGCGUGGGUGAAGAAGGCCUUCGGGUUGUAAAGCCCUUUUGUUGGGAAAGAAAAGCAGCAGGUUAAUACCCCACUGUCCUGACGGUACCCAAAGAAUAAGCACCGGCUAACUUCGUG
rnacentral:rRNA from 1 species